AAUCUUCUGGAAUGUUUGAGGAGCGCUGGUUAUGGAGCUACAGCAGGUGGACACUGCUGGACACCAAUGUGAACACGUCUGUAGCAAGUGUUGCAAAAUGAGGAACUUUCGAUCUGAGGUGAGGAGGUGGAAGCUGAGCUGCAGACGUUGCGCCACAUCAGGGAAAGAUCUGCAGGAGCGCCCAGUGAAGCUACAUCUUUGACCAUACCUGAUCAACUUGAGUUGUUCAAACUGGUCUCACCGAGUGGUACAAGAGGCUGCAGGGGCUGGAUGACCUCUUCCUUUAUUCCCCAAGGGCCUGGCAACUCUCUGGAGCCUUAUGCUGCUGUUGUACCAGUCUAGCUUUUGGAAUUUCACACAAACGGAAUCUAUGCUGCCUUCCAGCUAAUAAACAUGUUCAGUUAGCGCAGAGGAGGCUUCCCAACCCCUGUAGAUCAUUGCCAUUCUGCUGCAAUGUCGGCUUCUGAUUGCUGUCAGCCUGCCUGAAGCACUCGGAUGAAAGUGUGGAGUUCCUCCAUUGUCCCGGCCCAAUAUUGCUCCCUCAACCAACAGCCCCAGAAAAUACGGCCCAGCUAUUGCUUCAUACACAUGCUGUGGGUGGGACCUUGCUGUGUGAAAGUUAGCAUAGUUUGCCCGACGACGUCCGCAUUUUCCAAAUAACCUUUUACUGAGAGCUGGCGCAGCAGGGCAAUGCUGUGGUAAACCCGAUUUGGCUGCCUAUAAUGGUAGCUCUUGUCCCUGCCACACCUCUGCUGUGUCCAGUGACCAGCCUGCUGACCAGGGGCAAGGACUCAUGCUGAACGGGUGAAGCUGGUGUAAAUAAAAAUGUGGUGGCAGGGGUGAUUCAACACAGCCAAUAGCUGGCUUGCCAACCAUUGUGGGGGCCAGACGCUUUGAGCUGGAUAUCCUACUUGUGCAAAGGCAGCCAUGGAUCUCACUCUUCAAACUGCAACAUUAAAGUGACUUUCGCUGCAAGACUGACAGUUCCCCUUUAGAGAGUAGAGUCUUCUCCAUGGUGUUCUGGUCGGUAUUUAUCCCUCGGGCAAUGUCACUCAAAACAGAAGCUCUGCUCUUUAUCUCAUUGUUGCUUCUGGGAUGUUACUCUGUACAAACCGGCCACGUGGUCCCUCCUAAUUUUAAAAAAAAACACAUUGGAGAAUCAAUCGUUGCACAGAGGGAAGCCAUUGGCUCCUUUGCACAGCGCUCCCCCACUCCCAUACCCUACCUUUCAUAGCUUUAUGUCCCUCAAACACCCAUUUCCAUCUGAAAAUAUUGAUCGUCUCCACAUUCAGCUCUUAUACAGCAAGCUCCAGGUUGCUGCAGACAAACACCUUUCUCACGUUUCCCCCACAUGACCUGCACCUCUUAUCCAAAUCGGUGUCCGACAAGCUGUUCUUUAUUUACUUUACAUAAUCUAGUCUCCAGAGUUUAGAAAACUGAGGGGUGAUGUAAUCGAGGUAUAUACGUUGCUGAAGAGGAUCAAUAAAGCAGAUGCAGGGAGGAUAUUUCCUCAUGGGGCAAGCCAGAAUGAGCGGUCAUAGCUUUAGGAUGAGGGGUCACAGAUAAUAAACAGAGAUGAGAAGGAAUUAGCUUUCUAAGGAGCGUGAAUCUGUGGAAUUCACUACCCCAGAGUUCAGUGGAUGCCGGGACAUUGAGUAAGUUUGAGGAGGAGAAAGACCGAGUUUUAAUUCGCAUUAAGUUGAAGGGGAGGAAAGUGGAAUUGACGCCGAGAUGAGAUCAGCCAUGAUUGUAUAAAAUGGCGGAGCAGGCUCAAGGGGCUGAAGUGCCUAUUCCUGCUCCUAGCUCUUGGGUUCUAAUAAUCUCAUUCACCUCCAUCCCCUUUGCUCGAAGGAGAACAACUCCAGCUUCUCAAACCUAACCUUGUGUCUAAAUCCCUUGUCCCUGGAACCACGUAGUCAAUCUGCUCAAGGACCCUCCUCUCCUUUUCUAAAAUGUUUUGGCCAGAACUGGACUGAAAUUAUGUAGUAUAUGAUCGGUUUUGAAGAUGUUGUUGGAGGAAUAAAUAAUGGAGAACCAUUCCUACUUUAUAUUUUCUUGCAACCCACGUGAUAAGUAAAGCCUUCAGUUUUGUGUUUUAUCUAAAAUACAGCACCUCUGACCAGGCAGCACUCCUUCAGUCCUACACUGUGGUAUCAAUCAGCACGUUGCUAGAGAUUGGGUUAAUUGUCUUUUAGUAUAUGUAAGGAACGUGCACAAUAUUGUUACAAAAACAAAUAAAGUUUGCCGAUAUAGAUCUUGUGUUCUAAAGCAGCC